GCAACACAAGCCCUUUCCUGUCUCCGCUCCGCAAAGCAGGAGGUGGAGGAGGUGGAGGAGGAAUUGGAUUCCUUAAUUUUCUCCGCCGAUUGCGGGUCGUGGGCAAUGGCGAUGGAGUCGGAGGGGUUACUGUCGUUUUCGCUAGCUUCGGUGGUGGAAGACGUCUUGAAGGAGCAUGGAGCUAGGUUUAGCGAUACCAACUUGGCCUCCAGGAAGGCCGAGGAAGCGGCGGCGAGGAGGUACGAGGCAGCCGGAUGGUUGAGAAUGGUGGUGGGAGUUGUAGUCGCAAAAGAAUUGCCCAACGAGCCUUCGGAGGAAGAAUUCAGGCUUGGAUUGAGGAAUGGGAUAAUCCUUUGUAAUGCUCUCAACAAGGUUCGACCCGGAGCAGUUCCAAAAGUGGUUGCCAAUCCUGGAGAUACAAUUCAACAACCAGAUGGAGCAGCGCUCUCCGCAUAUCAGUAUUUUGAAAACGUGAGGAACUUCCUUGUAUCAGCACAAGAAAUGGGUCUACCCACCUUUGAGGCAUCUGAUCUAGAACAGGGAGGCAAGAGUGCUAGGAUUAUCGAUUGCAUUCUUUCUCUCAAGGGUUAUGCUGAGUGGAAACGAAUGGGUGGGCAUGGUACUUGGAGAUCUGGUGCAAACCUUAAACCAUCCAUCUCAGGCAAGCAUUUGUUGAAGAAAAAUUUGGAAAAUUCAAAGAGUUCAUUGUUAAGAGAUCAAUAUAUGAGUGACAAUGAUCAUCUACGAGCUGAACAAUUUUUGGAUGGGGAUGCCUCUUUAGAGUCCAGUGAAAUGACCACUUUGGUUCCUUUAAACAUGCUUGUCCAUGCGGCUUUAUCAAACAAGAAGCCUGAAGAACUUCCUCUGCUUGUGGAGUCAUUGUUGAAUAAAGUAAUGGAGGAAUUUGAACAUCGUAUUACAAAACAGAAUAACUUGGAUAAAUCAACUUCAAAGGGCAUCCACAAUUGCACAUUAGUCAAGACAAAGGCAUCAAUAGGUACUCUAUUUGUUGACAGUGGAACAGAGGAAAUUGAAGGAAGCAUUUUUGCAAAGUCGAAAGAAGAGGGCUAUAAUAAGAAGAUAUCCAAAGGAGAGACAUCAAAAGAAAAGCUUUUAAUGCAGCAACUGAUUUUCAAACAAGAUAGAGCUAUUCAGGAACUUAAGCAUACUCUUCAAAGUACCAAAGUUGGAAUAGGGGUGAUGCAAAUGAUGCACACUGAGGAAUUUAAUAAGCUUGGAGAUUGUGUACAUAGCCUUGCCAAUGCUGCUUCAGGUUAUCACAAGGUUCUUGACGAGAAUAGAAAGUUGUACAAUCAAGUUCAAGAUCUUAAAGGGAGCAUUAGGGUCUAUUGCCGAGUAAGACCCUUCCUAGUAGGACAAUUGAGUAAUAAUUGCAUAGGUUCAUUUGAUGAGGGUAGUAUCUCGAUAAUAACUCCCUCAAAGUAUGGAAAAGAAGGACGUAGAUCUUUCAACUUCAAUAAAGUAUUUGGCCCAUCAGCAACACAAGAGCAAGUAUUUUCUGAUACACAACCUCUAAUCCGAUCCAUUCUUGAUGGUUACAAUGUUUGUAUAUUUGCAUAUGGCCAAACUGGAUCAGGAAAGACUUACACUAUGAGUGGACCCAAGGUUCUUAAUGAGCAAACACUAGGUGUGAAUUUUAGAGCUUUAAGUGAUCUAUUUAAACUUGCUGAACAAAGGAAGCAUACAUUUAGUUAUGAGAUCAGUGUUCAAAUGAUUGAGAUAUACAACGAGCAAGUUAGGGAUCUCCUCGGUGAAGGCAUUAACAAACGAUUAGAAAUUCGGAAUACUUCAGAGAAAGGACUUAAUGUUCCCAAUGCAAACUUAGUACCUGUUGCAUCAACAUCUGAUGUAAUGGAACUAAUGAAUAUUGGGCACAAGAAUCGUGCUGUUGGUGCUACAGCUUUGAAUGAUCGUAGCAGUCGAUCUCAUAGUUGCUUGACUGUUCAUGUUAAAGGAAGAGACUUGACUUCCGAAACUGUUCUCCGUGGAUGCUUACAUCUGGUAGAUCUGGCGGGCAGUGAGAGGGUUGACAAAUCUGAAGUCACAGGAGAAAGGCUAAAAGAAGCACAACAUAUAAACAAAUCUCUCUCAGCUCUAGGGGAUGUCAUUGCUGCACUUGCACAAAAGAAUUCACAUGUUCCUUAUAGAAAUAGCAAACUCACACAACUUCUUCAAGACUCUCUUGGUGGUCAAGCAAAAACCUUGAUGUUUGUCCACAUAAGUCCAGAAAUGGAUGCGGUUGGGGAAACCCUUAGCACACUUAAAUUUGCAGAACGUGUUUCCACAGUUGAGCUUGGCACUGCACAAGUGAAUCAAGAAAGUGGAGAAGUUAAAGAACUAAGGCAGCAGAUAGCUAGCUUGAAAGCAGCCCUAGCAAGGAAAGAAACCGUUCACCAGAAUAAAUUACCUAGUUCAGAUCCCAUCCAUAUUACAACACCAUCACCUGUACAUUCCAGUCGACAGAGUGGUGGGGCUUAUCUAAGCAGUCAAACUACUCAUAGACAACCAAUGGAAGAAGUUAGCAAUAUUGAAGUCAGGGGUAAUGUUGUGAUGAGACGUAAAGUUCCAAGUUUUGAUCUCCAAGAUCUAUCGACAAUAAAUGACUCUUCUCCCUGGACAGUAAGUAGCUCCAGAAUGAAUCAUCCGAACAAGGAUGAUAAACAAAUUGUCUACAGCGACUGGGUUGAUAAGGUCAUGGUAAACAAGCAAGAGACAGUUGCUACAGAUGACAAUUACAUGAUAGAUUGGGAGGGGAGUUAUGGGACAUCACCUGAUCACCUGUUUUACCAUCAAUGUCUUUCUGAUAUGAGGGUUCAUCCUGAUGAACAAUAUCAUAAAAAUGCCAUCACCAGAAAAGAUAGCAGCUAUGAGCUGAAUAGGCAAAGAAAAGAGUCAUUUUACGCUGCAACUGAUGGUUCAGACGACCUAGAUGUUGCAACCAGUGAUUCUUCAGAAGCAGAUAUGCUAUGGCAAUUCAAUCUCCAAAAUGUACAUAACGCAUACAAUGAGAGUGGUUCAAAGAUCAAGAAGCCUCAGACAAAGCCACAAGCAAAAACUCCUGAUACAAGGAUUCCAAAUCAUACAAAGUUAUCAUCUUCCAAGAAAUCAAACGGGCCCAACCGGAUAGGAAGGCAGACCAUUUCCAGCAUUUCUGGUGACCGGAAACAUUAACGAAUUACAUCGGUUGGCAAGAUUAUCAAUUACAAAUAGAGGUGUUUCUGAUAUAGUGGCUUGCUACUUGUUCUUCUUUAGAGUGAAAAAAGAGAAUUGAUGCUUUCUCAAGCAGAGUUAAUGAGUAGCAAUAAUCCCAGAUGAUGCGUGUAUCACUGGAGUUGUGACAAUGGAUAAAUGUAUUGUUGUAUUAUUCUUUUCAUCGUGUCUACGAUUUGUAAAGAAAAGGAAGAGCAAAAUGAGGCAAAUUCAAAGAGGUUUCAAGUGAUGAAGCUAUUGAUACAGCUAAACUUCUUUCUUUGCAAGAGCCAAGAAGGGUUGGAAUUUCAUCUGGGGCUGCUACAGAAGCUGCUAUUAAAGUCAGACAGAGACCUGAGAACAAGGGAAAAAUUAUUGCU